rnacentral:rRNA from 1 species
UACAGAGGGUGCGAGCGUUGUCCGGAAUUACUGGGCGUAAAGGGCGCGUAGGCGGCCCCGCAACGCGUGCCGUGAAAGCCCGGGGCUCAACCCCGGGUCGGCGGUGCGAACGGGGGGGCUGGAGCCCACCAGAGGCAGGCGGAAUUCCGGGUGUAGCGGUGGAAUGCGUAGAGAUCCGGAAGAACACCGGUGGCGAAGGCGGCCUGCUGGGGUGGAGCUGACGCUGAGGCGCGACAGCGUGGGGA